UCAAGUGUCAGCUUGAAAGCAACAUUCUCAGAGAGAUACUCUGUGAUGACCCCCAGACUUCAUCAAGUCCCUGUAAUUACAAGACUCUUACAGCACUACGAAAUAACAUUUCCCUCAUACUUCUCAUAUACUCCCUGUUUGAGACACUGAAUUAUGGCAUUGCUAGAGAAGGGCACUGGAUUUUAUUCAAAGGAAAACAAAAGUACAACAAAAAAGCCAAAACAGACCCGACACUUAUCUUAACUCAAUCUUUCUAAAUUUCCUACCACUGAACUCUUGCUUUUUCAAACAUAGCAUCACACAUUACCAUAUAGCACUUUUAAAAAAUUGUAAUAGCUCUUUUAAAACAUUACUUUUUGUCUUUUAUUAUUCCACACAAAUUUCUGCCUAAAAUCUGCUCCAUUAAAGCUCUAGUUAACAAUUUAGCUCAACUGUCAUCUACUCUGUAUAGUCUUUCCCAGUGCCCCACAAGAGCUAGCUGCAUGCUCUGUGUACCUUUUCCUCACGUGUUUAUUACAGCACUGACUGUUGUCUGUGAUGGGUUUAUGGUGCUACGUUAACCAAGCCACUUGAGGGAAGAAGUUGUGAACCACCGCUUACAGAAAGACACAAAGAAUGUGUAACUUCAUAUGUUCACAAAAUCAUCAAAACUGACUACACAGGUAACUGCUAAUGUAGAGACAGAAUUUGUCUUUUAAUAUAAAUAUUUGAAAUUUUUUGCUAAAAAUUUAAUGACUGUUGCUGAUACUUAGGAGAGCUAGUUAUACACUGUGUUAUCUAGUCAGAAAAGCAAACUUGAAAACAGAGAAAACCAAUUAGGUAAUACUGUUCUGAAUUUAAUCUUGAGGUUCCCGCAUAUUGAAAAAGCACACCCUUCUAGUAAAGAAAAGCCACCCCAAACUCAAAUAUCAUUUUUAUCACAUGAAAGUUUGUCUAAUUAAGCUGAAUAAGCUUAACCUACUAUCAGUAUUUCUUUUCAUACUUUACAACCCUCACAUAUUAAAAAUUUUUUUCAAAAAGCCACCCAAGUUUACUGAUUUUUAAAAAUAAAAAAUUCUAGUUAUAAAAACAAUGCUUGGGACUUCCCUGGGGGAUCAGUAGUUAAGAAUUCACCUGCCAAUGCAGGGGACACAGGUUCGAGCCCUGGUCCAGGAAGAUUCCCACAUGCUGCGGAGCAACUAAGCCUGUGUGCCACAACUACUGAGCCUGUGCUCUAGGGCCCGCGAGCCGCAACUACUGAACCCAUGUGCUGCAGCUACUGAAGCCUGUACACCUAGAGCCCAUGCUCCGCAACAAGAGAAGCCACCACAACGAGAAGCCUGCGUGCAGCAACGAAGACAUAACACAGCCAAAAACUAAAAAUUAAAAAAGAAAACAAAAACAACAACAAAAAAA